UACGAAGGGUGCAAGCGUUAAUCGGAAUUACUGGGCGUAAAGGGUGCGUAGGCGGUUCGUUAAGUCUGUCGUGAAAUCCCCGGGCUCAACCUGGGAAUGGCGAUGGAAACUGGCGAACUGGAGUGUGGCAGAGGGGGGUGGAAUUCCGCGUGUAGCAGUGAAAUGCGUAGAGAUGCGGAGGAACACCGAUGGCGAAGGCAGCCCCCUGGGCUGACACUGACGCUCAGGCACGAAAGCGUGGGGAGCAAACAGG
rnacentral:rRNA from 1 species